UCAUAGCUCAGUCAGCGAAGAAUCUGCCUGCAAUGCAGGAGACCCAGGUUCGAUUCCUGGGUUGGGAA
rnacentral:tRNA from 1 species